rnacentral:rRNA from 1 species
UACGUAGGGGGCGAGCGUUGUCCGGAAUCAUUGGGCGUAAAGCGCGUGUAGGCGGUCCGGUAAGUCCGCUGUGAAAGUCGGGGGCUCAACUGUGGGCGGGCAGCUGAUACGGGCAGGCUGGAGUUCGGUAGGGGAGACUGGAAUUCCUGGUGUAGCGGUGAAAUGCGCAGAUAUCAGGAGGAACACCGGUGGCGAAGGCGGGUCUCUGGGCCGAUACUGACGCUGAGGAGCGAAAGCGUGGGGAGCGAACGGG